rnacentral:lncRNA from 1 species
CCGAAGUGACCUAUUGACACCCCUGAUCAUGAUUCAAUCCAAAGAUUGACAUUUUAAGGUUGUAAGUAUCGUGAAAUAAUAUUUCCAACUUAUAAAGGCUAAAAUAAUUGUAAGUAUGGACACUUAGCUGAAGUUUCUAAGUCUAGGAAUUCCUUUCAUUCUUUAAAGGACUGAGUUAAGCAAAGAAUUUUACAGGGAAUUACAGUAGCUGUAUGAGCAG